rnacentral:misc_RNA from 1 species
AGAAAAUAGAUCGUGCUCCGUAAUGGUUGCCGGAUUAUUUUACCAGUUGGAAUUCGACGAUUUUUAACUACCACCAACGAGGAGCAAGUUUUUCGCCGGAUAGCGCGGGCGAAGAAAACCUCGAAGGCUAUUUAUUUCCGACAGGCCGCCAGUACAAAUAACAAAUCCUUGACUAGAGUCGAAGAUUUUUCUUCGAGUCGCUUUAAAAACCUAGAUCGCGUUUAAAACGCGAAAACACCAUUCUUAAGCUGGAAAACGUCGGAUCAUCGUCGAGCUAGCUAGCGUUUCGAAGGGUGGAGACGUGGCAAGGGGAAGACGAAGAGGGGCAGGUCGGGUAACAGUAACGACGUCGACAGGGUUGCGCGGAGGGAAACUCCCGUUGGAGUCUCCUCCGGCAGCGAAGAGGGAUGGAAACGGGAAU